CGCUGGCGGCAUGCCUUGCACAUGCAAGUCGAACGGCAGCACGGGAGCAAUCCUGGUGGCGAGUGGCGAACGGGUGAGUAAUAUAUCGGAACGUGCCCGGUCGUGGGGGAUAACGUAGCGAAAGCUACGCUAAUACCGCAUACGAUCUACGGAUGAAAGCGGGGGAUCGCAAGACCUCGCGCGAUUGGAGCGGCCGAUAUCAGAUUAGGUAGUUGGUGAGGUAAAGGCUCACCAAGCCGACGAUCUGUAGCUGGUCUGAGAGGACGACCCAGCCACACUGGGACUGAGACACGGCCCAGACUCCUACGGGAGGCAGCAGUGGGGAAUUUUGGACAAUGGGCGCAAGCCUGAUCCAGCAAUGCCGCGUGCAGGAUGAAGGCCUUCGGGUUGUAAACUGCUUUUGUACGGAACGAAACGGUGAGCUCUAAUACAGUUUGCUAAUGACGGUACCGUAAGAAUAAGCACCGGCUAACUACGUG
rnacentral:rRNA from 1 species